GGAUGCGAUCAUACUAGCACUAAAGCACCGGAUCCCAUCAGAACUCCGAAGUUAAGCGUGGUUGGGCGAGAGUAGUACUAGGAUGGGUGACCUCUUGGGAAGUCCUCGUGUUGCAUUCC
rnacentral:rRNA from 1 species